AGGAAGUGUCGCUCUCUUUCCCCUCGGCUCCUGCUCCAGCGGCACGAUGUGAUUCACCAGCAAGGAGGGAGGCCAAUAAGGCGUCCGAUAAGAUAAUACAUAAAAAUUAUGAGUGCAUCCAACUAACCAACGUUAUGGGAUGGGCAAAUGGCAGUCAAUUUUUUGGUUUUCUUCCCAUGGUAAAACAGACUUCAGACUCAUAUCAGAUAAAAAACAAGGAGAAACUGAAAAGAGUUCAAGAGUUUAUGUCUUGCUGGGAGAUUGGAUUUUGCUUUAAUAGCACCAUGGAAGUCAUCAUAAGAUAAUUAAAAUGAGUCCUCAAGCUUGAAUGGUGCCUUUCUUUAUAUAACACUUUCUACCAAGUAGUGUCAUUUGGCAUAAGAAAAGGGAAAAAGAGAUUUACACUAUGCUUAUAAUAGAAAGUUACAAUUAUUUUCUAUUAGUAUUAUCAAGAAGAAUCAGUAAAUUAAAUCACCCUGGUUAUUUCCAUCAAAAUAUCUGUAUACUGAGGGAAAGAUGUGAGGAAAUGAUAUGACAGUGUCCACCCAGGACUGAAGAACAUCAACUGUAAGGACAUGCUGCUGUGCAUUUUAUCUUUUUAACUAUCCUCACCAAUGGAAUCUCAUUUCCCUUUGGCUUCAUGGAAAGCACAUAAAGGACACCUCCAUGUAUCUCACAGUAUUUCUUCAUGAAUUAAUUAUGACUUUUAAUUAAACCAUGGUAAUAUUUGUGGUUGGUUUGUGUUGACCCCUUUUUACUAUUUGAAUCAUCAAUAAUAACACACAAUCAUUAGCCAAUGUAUUCAAGUAAGUUUGUAUUUUUCCUUCACUAAAUUUUUCAUCUUGGGUGCUUAAAGAAAUUUUUCCACAGGCUCUGUAUCCUCAUUUCCUCCAUCCAAUACCACAUAUUCACAAACACACAAAUGCAUGCACAGGCACACAUAUUGAAAGAGAGAGAGAGAUGUAUUCAAACAAAUGAAUACCUUUUUAAAACUACCCUCAAGAAUCACCUUCAACUCCCAGUUAAUAUUCAAAGAACUAGAAUAACUUAUUUGCUUGAAAACUAAAAUAUAUUAAAAUAUUUAAAUUUUCAUUGCCUAAAUUCUAUGACUAAAUAAAUGCUCUAAAAUUUUGAAUCAUCAUUUCAGAAAAAAAUAGAUUUUCUUAUCAUGACUUUUGAUAUCCAUUUCAAUUUUACAUUUCAUCUCGUUUUUUUCUAAAUGAAUUAUAUGGUCUAGGGACAGAAUCUGAGUUCAUUGUGGUAGUAUAGGAGAAAAUUUUUGUUAAGUAAUGAAGUCACUUCUAUGAGGAGAUGCCCUCACAAAUAACCUUCUAAGAAUAUCUGACUUUUAAAUAUAAGUUAAAUGUCUGAUAUACUUAUUUCAACAACAUUGAUUUUCAAAAAUCUUCUUACUUUGACUUAUUCUUUGGAACCAUAAUUUCGAAAAUUUUCCAACAAAAAGAAAUACCUAAGUGUUGGGCCAGUAGUUGUCAUUGACAAGGUCAUGAUUAGAUACAUUGUAGCUAAUGUAAAAAUGAGGGCACUAUCUCAAGGACAUGAAGUGUUAAAUCCAGUUAAAUUUCUCAACCAGUUUCCAGUGUCAAAAACAGAAAAAUGAGGGGACUGGCAAGGUAUCUAAAUAGAUAAAAUUACUUUCCUCCAAUACUUGAAAAUCUGUUUGGUUCUCAGGGCCCAAAUAAAAGUGGGAAGAUAAAACUCACUCUCCAACUCUGUCUUCUGGCCUCUGUCACAUUAGGUGUCCAUUCCCUCUCUCUAUACAAAGACACACACAAAAAAGUUUUUAACAUUUUUAAUUUAAAAUAAUUAGAAGAGGAGAAGGCACAUCCAGUGUUAUAGUGAUAACAUAGAAAUAGGGAAGUAAAUAUUACACAACAUUUAGAACUUCAGCAGACAUAGCCAUGUUUUUCUGGAAAAGGACCCAGGUUUCACUUGUUAAUAUAUUGUGAUAUUCUUUCCUUUUUUCUACAGGUAUGAAAUAUUACUUAAACUAUGUAAAUGUAUGCUGCAUGUUUUAAUGUUGUAAAGAUGUAUUGCAUGUGUUUUCGAUUUCUCUCUCUAAGGCACCUGAUUGAUCUAAUAAAAGCUGAAUAGUCAAUAGCUAUGCAGGUGAUGCUUAGGUACAGCUGGAAGGCAGAAAGAAUACAUAGGAGAGGAAUCUCAUCUUGGCUUUAGAGGAGAAAAAGGAGAGAACAAGAAAGGAAAGAAGGUAGGGAGGAAGGAAGGAAGGAAGGAAGGAAGGAAGGAAGGAAGGAAGGAAGGAAGGAUACCCAGAGCCAUUUAUCUAGACAGCCACCAGAUAGAGAGACAUGGAAUAGGCCAUGCAGAAUUAAAGAAAGGUAAAAGGCUCUGAGGCAAAAUGUGCAUGAACAAACAGAGGUUAAACAAAUUUUUAAGAGCUAAUGGGGCAAGCAUAAGUUAAGGCUGAGCAUUCAUAACUACUAAUAAGUCUCUAUGGUUUAAGUGAAAGAGGGUGUCUUUACCUGAGUAGAGGCUACUGUAAUGUCUGCUUAUGUAACUGAAUAAAACACCCAUGAAGACACAGAAGCAGAGGGCAGUAGAAUGAAAUAGUCAAUAAGAACUAGAACUUGAAGAUCCUUUUCUGGAAAGAGAUCUGGAGACCUAGAAAAUAUGCUACAUAAUAUUACCUUAAAGCAAUAACAGUCAGGUUAGUAAAACAUUAGAGAAAUUGUUUCUUAGAAAGGUGAUAAGUCACAGGCAUUGGCCUUUCUUGGGUGGACCUAAAGGAUUUUCACCAGGUUCAAGUCUCUCCUAUGGUUAUCAUCUUGAUUUACAGCUGUAUUUGUAACUGGUCUGGCAGAAAUGAAGAACUUUAAAGAAACAUUUGUGUCUCAUAGAACUACUGAAUAUUCAAACUUUGGGCCCAUAAAAAAUUAUAUUUCCUGUGGCUUUUGUCUCCUGAAUGAUAUUUCACAGAGUUCUAAGAACUUGUCAGUUUAUCUUACAGGAUAAGACUGAAAGGCCACACAGUUAUAGGUCGAUGGUUUACAAUACCAGACCUUAACCAAGACUGCUUAGAUAUGCUAUCCCCAGCCCUGUACUUAAACUUUAGUCUCACUUUAUGAUCCAAAAACAGGCUUGGGGAGUUGGAUGGAGCUCUUUGUUUCUUCAUCCUAUGUGGUAACAUUGAGUACAUAUUCUUUUUCUGAUGUUCAUUGUUGAUUCAUUUGCUUGUAUUAAUUUGUUGAAGAUACAUAGCUGGACCUGAUUUAGGGGAUAGGCUGUGGCAUUCAAUAUGGUAAUAUGUUGACAUUUUCUGCAGAGCAGUCUAACCACCCCCAGAAGUUUCUCUGUUGCCUUUAUAUCAUUUGCUCAUUGUUUAAUCCUAAACCAAUGUGGUAAUACAAAUGAGAAAUAUACACCAUAGUUUAGGGUAGUAGUUCUCAUGCUGUGGGUCACGACCAUUUUGGGGCUGACUGACACUUUCAUAGGGAUCACCUACAACCAUCCUGCAUAUCAUAUAUUUACAUUACAGCAGCAAAAUUGUAGUUAUGAAGUAGCAACAAAAACUAUUUUGUGAUUGGGGUUACCACAACAUGAGGAUCUAUAUUAAAAGGUUGAAGUUAUAGGAAGGUUGAAUACAACUGGUCUAGGGUGUUUGGAUAUUUGAUUGUCAGUUGGUAUUGUUGUUGGGGAGGAUCAUGAGGUGAGGCCUUGCUGGAGGAAGUAUGUCACUGAAGGAAGACUUGGACAGCUCGAGGUCUCAUAAUAUUUUCAGUUUGCUAUCUCUGCUUUGUACUGCAGUUAUAAAUGUAAGCUCUCGUUUCCUGUUUAUUCCAUCAUGUUGUUGCCAUGCCUUUGCUCUGUAUUCUGGAAUCUUGUCAUUCCAGAACUAUAAGUUAAAAUAAACUCUUUAUUAAGUUGCCUUGGUCAUAGUAUUUAAUCAUUGCACCAGAAAGUAAAAAAUGCAAGCAGUAAUUCAUAUUUUAAGAUUUUGAUGGAGGCAUUGGUUCUGAUUGUAAGCUAACAUUUCAGCCUGUGGUGAAGAGUGAGCUUUCUGCAAAUGUAGAUGUGCUUCAAACAGCCAUCAUUCAUCAACUCACACUGUUUUUGGUUGAUAACUUCAGAUAGGAUCCUUUGCUCAUCAUUAGCACUUGUCUCCACUGCAAUUACUCAAUAUGCUAAAAUUGUUACAAUAUCAGCAGGGGAUGCAUAGUCUAGAUAGAAAAUAGAAAAAUCUGAUACAUAUAUUUCCAUAUACUUUCAUACUAUGGGAUAUUAUUAUAUCUCCACUGAAAGUUUGUUUCGUUCUUUUGAAUCUGGUGGACCUAUGAACCAUGCAUGCCUUCUCAAAUUACAGUCAAAAGGGACUAUAAGCAGACAAAUUUAGUGCUCACAAAGUAGGCUUUCAAAAGGGAUUGGUCACAAGCUAAUACCCCCUCUCUGGCUGGAACACAGAGUGGACUGUUUCUGAGAGAUCUUGUGGCCAAAUUGAUCUCUUCCAAAGGGCAGAAAUUCUGGCAUUACUGUAUCUCCAAACUGAGGAAAAUAACUCUACUGAUGAGUAGGUGGCUUGACAAUCACAUCAACGUGAGAAGUGAGCUGAACAUCACAGAGACUAGGGCAUGUAAUUGUGCUCAGGCAACAACUAAUGCUAUUGAUGGGAAAAGAGCUUGAGUCCUAGUUCAUAAUAGUCAUAUUAUAUGAGAAGCAAACAGCCAUGGCAUGUAUGAAUGAAGCUACACUCUAAGAUUCUGUCUUUGGAACUAGGUUUCAUAAAUAUGAUCCCUCCUUACACCUGAGAAAGGUCUGAUACAGAGAUAGGGGUGUGACUUGCUAGGUAUUUUUCAGGAACAAUGCAACUUGGGAAAUGGGAUGCAAAUUCUGGUUCUGGAAAAUAUCCCAGCAGGGAAAACAUAAUAGAAUACUUCCUUUUAAAACACAUGAAGGAUAGUGGCGUUCUUCUCAUAUGAAGAGUCAGUUAUAAAAGAUAAUGUAAGGUUUAGAGAGAACAUUUUUAUUUCAACAAAGAAUUACUACCUAAUGAUGUACUACCUAAUGUACAUUUUACAUUUUUUAAUGCUUUUAUUUUGAGGUUUAAUAUUUAUUUUAAUUAAUUCUUUUGUUUUCACUUUUUCUUGAUUAAAUAGGCUAUUUUGACUUCUUUUUAAAAGUACGUUUUUAAGAAAAAAGAUAGAAUUACAUCACAUUCACCCCUCUCUGUCCUCUCUGCAGCCUCUCUUGUUCCUCCUUUACUUUGAUUGUUAUUGUUACAUACAUUUACGUAUAUUGUGUAUGCAUACAUAUACACAUUAUAGAACUUCAUGAGUCUUUUUUAUGUAUGUAUAUGAUUUAAAUGCUGUAAACCUUGCAUUAGACAACUAAUAAAAAGACUCUUCUGGGCGUGCAAUUUUCCUUCUCCUACUUACCUACAGUUGUUUUUCUAGAACUGGUAUUCUGUACAAUUUCCCCUUCUACAUUAAAAUGUCCACUGAUAUUGCCAUUUUCUGGUUAUGUUUAUGAUACUGUUUCUAGGAGAUCCUGUUUCACACCAGACUUCCUGAUAUUCUGACACUUAUUUUUUACUAUUUCCUAUUUUGCUACUUGUAGCUCAAACCCAUGUACAUUUCCCUCCAUUCCUGCUUUACCAUUAUUCCCCUUUUACCUUUUUCUACUAUAUUUCUUAAUUUCAAUAUGCUUACCAUUUUAAAUCUUUCAACUAUAUUUAUCUUUAAAGUAUCCUGGAUGCUCUGUUUCUGAAUCUCAUUAUAGUUAUAAGAGAAGUCCACAAGUGUUUAUAACUGCAUCUUAAUACCAAACUUGUCAAGAAAUUGUCCAGAUACUGUAUGAUAUCUUUUCUGUAGUAGCAAAAAUCAUGGGUGCAAGUGAGCACUGCAUACAAAGUAGACUCACAUAAAACAAAACAAAUGUGAGAGUUCAGAAGACAUAAAAUAAAAUAAAUCAAGAGGAUACAUACACAGAACCCAACAGGAUGAAAGAGGGGGAAAAUAAGCAUCCUUCAUAUCCUCAUAAUUUCUAAAUAGUUGAAGUAAAUGAAAAUUGCAUAAUUGAAAUACCAAGAAACAUAUUUCAGAAUCAACAUUUUAAAUGUUCAAAGACCAUGUGAAAAUGGCUCCCAGGGAAAGAGAACAUGCUUCUCUUCAAGGAACACAAAUUUCAUUUCAGCACAUCAGAGAGCUCAUAGUUACCCAUAACUCCAGUUCCAGAAGAAGUAUCACCUUCUUUUCAAUAUCAUGGUCACCUGCACACAUGUCUACAACCCACCAUCCUGUUGUAUGUAUAUGUACACAUAAUUAAAAUAAUGUAGGUGAUAAUAGCUAGGAUAUUGAUGUCUAUCAACUGGUGAAUGGACAAUAAAACUUACUCCUGCAUACAGUGGAAUUUUACUAGGGAAAUAGAAAUUUCAGAAUUCACAGAAAAAUGAUUGGGUCAAGAAAACAUUUACUAAGUCGGGUAACCCAGACACAAAAGUUAAGUCUCUCAUGUUCUCAUUCAUAUCUGGUUCUUGCAUUGACACUUUGGAUUUGUGUUUAAUAAGGAGUAUGUAUAGAAUAAUGGAAAAUAGAAAGGGACAUGGUUGUGAUGAAAAAUAAGGAUAAUAAGGAAUUAUGGAUAGUAGGAAACAGACAAAAAGAUAAGGAAAGAGUGAAUUACAGGGAGGGAUGUUUAAGUUGGGAGAUAGAUGGGAUGCUAGGGAAGAACAAGGGUUUAAUGAAAAAUAACUAAUACUAAAGAUGCUUGAAACAACCAUAUGCAAACCUAAUAUUUUAUUCAUAUAGAAGAGUUUAGUUGUUUUUGCCCUGAAUAAAGGUUGUACUUAUUCAAAAAGCAAUAGGUUGCCAAAAAACUACAAAACAGAGCCACAUACUGAAUAAUACCUCUGAGUUGUGGCUCGGAGGAAUCCCAGAGACCUCCAAAGUAGCACAGGCUGUUUUUCCAUUGUUUUACCACCAAAACAGGAUGAGUGAGACCUCUAUAGUUCUUUAUUCUCUACACUGUGAUCAGUUGUGAAUUUGGUGUUAACAACCAGUCACUUCUCAAAGCAGUGAUUUAAAAGUUGCCCUAUUCUAAUAGUACAGAGAUAUAAAUUUAAGGCAGAAUUUGAUAUUAUAUCUACUAACAAAAUGAUAGUUAUAACUUCAGACUUGGAGCCUAUUAUUGCCACAACCAUGUUGCCACAUCUAUUGUUGAUUUCAGUUUAUUGGUGAUUAAGACUGUUGAUGACUUUUCACCUCAACAGCCCAAAUAACAUCUUUUAUAUGAGAGUUAACCAUUAGCAAGGAAGCUACAUAGGCAGGUAUCGUCUUGUUUUCUUCAUUUUCUGUCUUAUAUUCAAGAUGUCAAAAUACAAAGCAAAGGAAACACACUAGCAACUGCACUCAGAAAAUAUCAAUCUACUUCACUUUCUCAGAAAACACAUCACAUUUUUCAUGGGCAAACCCCAAAGCCAGGAAUAUACAGCAUGACAUAUUUCAAGCCCUAAAUUAAACACAUCCCAAAUAAGACUGCAGAGUCUAACAAAGCUGUUUCUUUACAUUGAUGGACUAACAUAGACAUUUCAAGAUAAAACAAUUCAUGGACACCAACCUAACACUUCAGAAUAUAUUUAAAUAAGUCUUAAAGACAGGAUGGUAAAGAAGGUGAUCUUAGUCCAUAGAGCACAGAAAAGUUUAUGAGAGAAGUCCAUGCACAAUAAGUAACUAGAGAAGAGUCUGUCAUUUCCCAAAAGGGAAACUAGCAAAAUACUGAUACCAAUAACAAGGAAAGAAACUAACAACUAAUAAUCUAAAUACAGUCCAAGCAUAUUAUAAUAUCACAACUUAAGGAAAGUGCAAACCUCAUCCAAUUAUAAUAACCUGUAUUGCCUGUUAAAUUAACACAGAUGUGUUGUCUGUAUUUAAAACAAUCCCAAAGGUUUUGUUAUCUCCAUGAAAUACCCCUCACAGACAAAUAGACUCACAGAAUAUGAGUAAAAGCAUGGAACUCACAUUAUCAAUUAAACAGAGGCAUAUAACCAACCGAUGCAGUCACUUGUGUAGGCAUUAAAUCAAAAUUAGUCAGAAC
ensembl:lncRNA